rnacentral:lncRNA from 1 species
GAUUGGACAUGGCAAGAGUUCCAAAAGUACAGACUGGGAGCUGCCCAAAAUUGCUCUGCAACCACAAGGGGCAAUCACAAGCUUACGAACGCUCUUCUUCCUGAAACGGUACUACUUUUCCUUAUAUAUAUAUAUAUAUAUAUAUAUAUGAUCUUUAUUGCUUAAUUAGUAAAUACUAGUAAAUAUUUAUCAUGGGCUGUGUUCUGUGUGUAUAGAAAGACUGGAGGGAAGAAGGCAUAGUCAGUCCCGUUAAGAAUCAAGGUCACUGUGGAUCUUGCUGGACUUUCAGGUUAAAAAAUUGAAAUUUGCUGGUUUUAACUAUAUGUUUCAUGCUUGUUAACUUGAGUAUUUUUCUACUGCAGCACCACUGGAGCUCUAGAGGCUGCUUACCACCAGGCUUUUGGGAAAGGAAUCUCUCUGUCUGAACAGCAGCUUGUGGACUGUGCUAGAGCAUUUAAUAACUUUGGCUGCAAUGGUGGGUUGCCAUCCCAAGCCUUUGAAUACAUUAAAUUCAAUGGUGGCCUUGACACCGAAGAAGCAUAUCCUUACACUGGAAAAGAUGACGCCUGCAAGUUCUCAUCGGAGAACGUUGGUGUCCGAGUUGUCGAAUCAGUCAACAUUACA